rnacentral:rRNA from 1 species
CACGUAGGGGGCAAGCGUUGUCCGGAUUUAUUGGGCGUAAAGAGCGUGUAGGCGGCCUUACAGGUCAGCUGUGAAAACUCGAGGCUCAACCUCGAGACGUCGGUUGAAACCGUAUGGCUAGAGUCCGGAAGAGGAGAGUGGAAUUCCCGGUGUAGCGGUGAAAUGCGCAGAUAUCGGGAAGAACACCCGUGGCGAAGGCGGCUCUCUGGGACGGUACUGACGCUGAGACGCGAAAGCGUGGGGAGCGAACAGG